GACGAACGCUGGCGGCGUGCCUAAUACAUGCAAGUAGAACGCACAGUUUAUACCGUAGCUUGCUACACCAUAGACUGUGAGUUGCGAACGGGUGAGUAACGCGUAGGUAACCUGCCUGGUAGCGGGGGAUAACUAUUGGAAACGAUAGCUAAUACCGCAUAAUAUUAAUUAUUGCAUGAUAAUUAAUUGAAAGGUGCAAUUGCACCACUACCAGAUGGACCUGCGUUGUAUUAGCUAGUAGGUGAGGUAACGGCUCACCUAGGCGACGAUACAUAGCCGACCUGCGAGGGUGCUCGGCCACGCUGGGACUGGGACACGGCCCAGACUCCUACGGGAGGCAGCAGUAGGGAAUCUUCGGCAAUGGACGAAAGUCUGACCGAGCAACGCCGCGUGAGUGAAGAAGGUUUUCGGAUCGUAAAGCUCUGUUGUAAGAGAAGAACGGGUGUGAGAGUGGAAAGUUCACACUGUGACGGUAUCUUACCAGAAAGGGACGGCUAACUACGUG
rnacentral:rRNA from 1 species